UCUCCGUUGGUGAACCAGCGGAGGGAUCAUUAUCGAGUUUAUAACUCCCAAACCCUAUGUGAACUUACCACUAGUUGCUUCGGCGCGCGCUUCGGUGCCGCCGAGGACACUUAAACUCUUUGUUUUUAUAAGCAUUUCUGAGUGGCCGAAAGGCAAAAUACAAAUGAAUCAAAACUUUCAACAACGGAUCUCUUGGUUCUG
rnacentral:misc_RNA from 1 species